rnacentral:rRNA from 1 species
UACAGAGGUCUCAAGCGUUGUUCGGAUUCAUUGGGCGUAAAGGGAGCGUAGGUGGCGCCGUAAGUCAGGUGUGAAAUCUCCGGGCUUAACUCGGAGCGGUCAAGUGAUACUGUUGUGCUAGAGUGCGGAAGGGGCUACUGGAAUUCUCGGUGUAGCGGUGAAAUGCGUAGAUAUCGAGAGGAACACCUGCGGCGAAGGCGGGUAGCUGGGCCGACACUGACGCUGAAGCGCGAAAGCUAGGGGAGCGAACGGG